GCUAGAGCAGAAACUUACCUGCCUACGUACCUGAUCUCAUUUGAUCUCGGAAGCUAAGCAGGGUCAGGCCUGGUUGGUACUUGGAUGGGAGAAAUUCACCUGCCUAGACAUAGAAGAAAAGGUUAUGCUGGGA
ensembl:rRNA 5S_rRNA 5S ribosomal RNA